GUGGAUUAGAUACCCUGGUAGUCCACGCCGUAAACGAUGAGUGCUAGGUGUUGGGGAGGAAUCCUCGGUGCCGCAGCUAACGCAAUAAGCACUCCACCUGGGGAGUACGACCGCAAGGUUGAAACUCAAAGGAAUUGACGGGGGCCCGCACAAGCGGUGGAGCAUGUGGUUUAAUUCGAAGCAACGCGAAGAACCUUACCAAGGCUUGACAUCCCGAUGACCGCUCUAGAGAUAGAGCUUCUCUUCGGAGCAUUGGUGACAGGUGGUGCAUGGCUGUCGUCAGCU
rnacentral:rRNA from 1 species